UAAUUUUAAACAUGUGUUACAGGUGUAUA
rnacentral:piRNA from 1 species